AUUUUUAAAAAGAGAACAAUGAGAUACAACAACAUAUCGUCACAUAAGAAAAUGAAAGGCAGUAUAAAUACUACAAACUCCAAUCGGAAAAUCAUCACAAUCUCAAUACUUACACCUUGACCGAUAUAUUGAUACCAAAAAAAUAUCAAAAUGCAAUUCCAAUUUUUCUUGUUGAUCUUGGCUAUCAUGGCUGUCUGUGUAUCAGCUGGUUGCGGAUCAAGUAGUUGUAGUGGUAGUGGAAGUACUGUUGGACUGGUUCCAGGACUGCUUGGUCAAUUACUUAAUCAACCCUCUUCAUCUUCAUCUUCAUCAGGCUGCAAAACUUGUUAAGAUAGUUGCAGCUCUAAAAACUCUUUUGCCGGUAGUAAAAAUAUGGGUAGGAGUUUUUUGAACUUGCAGUCCAAAUCAUAACAACUGAUAAGAAACAGAAUGGAUUUGAAUAAUUUAUAUGAUGAAAUUAAUAUACACCAGCUCGCUUCAUUUAUCAAUCUACCACUCAAACCGCUCAUUUUAAUGAUUUUAAUUAUUAUAGCUUAAGAAAAUUUUAAAUACGCAAGAAAAUUAAAUUUUUUUGUAAAAUUUAAAUUCAUAUAUAUGGAAUAAAUAAAUAUUUUAUAUCUAUAUAUAUAUACAUA